rnacentral:rRNA from 1 species
GACGAACGCUGGCGGCGUGCCUAAUACAUGCAAGUUGAGCGCUGAAGGUUGGUACUUGUACCAACUGGAUGAGCAGCGAACGGGUGAGUAACGCGUGGGGAAUCUGCCUUUGAGCGGGGGACAACAUUUGGAAACGAAUGCUAAUACCGCAUAAAAACUUUAAACACAAGUUUUAAGUUUGAAAGAUGCAACUGCAUCACUCAAAGAUGAUCCCGCGUUGUAUUAGCUAGUUGGUGAGGUAAAGGCUCACCAAGGCGAUGAUACAUAGCCGACCUGAGAGGGGAAGCGGCCACAUUGGGACUGGGACACGGCCCAAACUCCUACGGGAGGGAGCAGUAGGGAAUCUUCGGCAAUGGAAGAAAGGCUGACCGAGCAACGCCGCGGGAGUGAAGAAGGUUGUCGGAUCGUAAAACGCAGUUGGUAGAAAAGAACGUUGGUGAGAGUGGAAAGCUCAGCAAGUGACGGUAACUACCCAGAAAGGGACGGCUAACUACGUG